rnacentral:rRNA from 1 species
UUUAGCCUACGGGAGGCAGCAGUGGGGAAUAUUGGGCAAUGGGCGCAAGCCUGACCCAGCAAUGCCGCGUGAAGGAAGAAGGCCCUCGGGUUGUAAACUUCUUUUAUCAGGGACGAAGGAUGUGACGGUACCUGAUGAAUAAGCUCCGGCUAACUACGUGCCAGCAGCCGCGGUAAUACGUAGGGAGCAAGCGUUAUCCGGAUUUACUGGGUGUAAAGGGCGCGUAGGCGGGAUGGCAAGUCAGAUGUGAAAUCUGGGGGCUCAACCCUUGAACUGCAUUUGAAACUGUAGUUAUUGAGUACUGG